CCAUUGGAGGGCAAGUCUGGU
rnacentral:ncRNA from 2 species